GAUAUCCCAAUUUUCCUUCACAUUUUUCCUUUUUUUCUCCCUUUCUUUCUCUUCUAUUCAUUCCCAAAGGUUCAUAAAGCGAUAAUUAGGCAUUUUUCUUCUUUAUUUAGGCUUGGUACAUAAUAAAAGACAUAGAUAAUUACAGAAAACACUAAAAACAGACAUAUUGAUCCGCGAGAUAUCCAUAUUUCUUCACAUUUUUCCUUUUUUCUCCCUUUCUUUCUCUUCUAUAUAUUCCCAAAGGUUCAUAAGACGAUAAUUAGGCAUUUUUCUUCUUUAUUCAGGCUUGGUACAUAAUAAAAGACAUAUUUACUCAGAGAAAACACUAAAAACAGACAUAUUGAUCCGCGAGAUAUCCCAAUUUUCCUUCACCCUUUUCCUUUUCUCUCCUUUUCCUGCUCUCCUAUAUAUUCCCAAAGGUUCAUAAGGCGAUAAUUAGGCUUUCUUCUUCUUUAUUUAGGCUUGGUACAUAAUAAAAGACAUAGAUAAUUACAGAAAACACUAAAAACAGACAUAUUGAUCCGCGAGAUAUCCAUAUUUCUUCACAUUUUUCCUUUUCUCUCCUUUUCCUGCUCUCCUAUAUAUUCCCAAAGGUUCAUAAGACGAUAAUUAGGCAUUUUUCUUCUUUAUUUAGGCUUGGUACAUAAUAAAAGACAUAUAUAAUUACAGAAAACACUAAAAACAGACAUAUUGAUCCGCGAGAUAUCCCAAUUUUCCUUCACAUUUUUCCUUUUUUCUCCCUUUCUUUCUCUUCUAUAUAUUCCCAAAGGUUCAUAAGACGAUAAUUAGGCUUUCUUCUUCUUUAUUUAGGCUUGGUACAUAAUAAAAGACAUAGAUAAUUAGAGAAAACACUAAAAACAGACAUAUUGAUCCGCGAGAUAUCCCAAUUUUCCUUCACAUUUUUCCUUUUUUCUCCCUUUCUUUCUCUUCUAUAUAUUCCCAAAGGUUCAUAAGACGAUAAUUAGGCUUUCUUCUUCUUUAUUUAGGCUUGGUACAUAAUAAAAGACAUAAAUAAUUAGAGAAAACACUAAAAACAGACAUAUUGAUCCGCGAGAUAUCCAUAUUUCUUCACAUUUUUCCUUUUUUCUCCUUUUCCUGCUCUGCUAUAUAUUCCCAAAGGCUCAUAAGGCGAUAAUUAGGCAUUUUUCUUCUUUAUUCAGGCUUGGUACAUAAUAAAAGACAUAUUUACUCAGAGAAAACACUAAAAACAGACAUGUUGAUCCACGAGAUAUCCAUAUUUCUUCAUUUUUCCUUUUUUCUCCCUUUCUUUCUCUUCUAUAUAUUC